CCUACGGGAGGCAGCAGUGAGGAAUAUUGGUCAAUGGACGCGAGCCUGAACCAGCCAAGUCGCGUGCAGGAAGACGGUCCUAUGGGUUGUAAACUGCUUUUGUCCGGGGGUAAACUGCGCCACGCGUGGCGUUCUGAAAGUACCCCACGAAUAAGCAUCGGCUAACUCCGUGCCAGCAGCCGCGGUAAUACGGAGGAUUCGAGCGUUAUCCGGAUUUAUUGGGUUUAAAGGGUGCGUAGGCGGAAGAUCAAGUCAGCGGUAAAAUUCCGAGGCUCAACCUCGGCGAGCCGUUGAUACUGGUGGUCUUGAGUGAGGUAGCAGUAGGCGGAAUGUGUGGUGUAGCGGUGAAAUGCAUAGAUAUCAUGCAGAACUCCGAUUGCGAAGGCAGCAUACCGGCGCUCAACUGACGCUCAUGCACGAAAGUGUGGGUAUCGAACAGGAUUAGAUACCCCUGUAGUC
rnacentral:rRNA from 1 species